GGUUAAAUAUAUAUAACUGUGUGUGUCCAGGUUAAAUAUAUAUAACUGUGUGUCCCCAGGUUAAAUAUAUAUAACUGUGUGUGUCCCCAGGUUAAAUAUAUAUAACUGUGUGUGUCCCCAGGUUAAAUAUAUAUAACUGUGUGUGUCCAGGUUAAAUAUAUAUAACUGUGUGUCCCCAGGUUAAAUAUAUAUAACUGUGUGUGUCCCCAGGUUAAAUAUAUAUAACUGUGUGUGUCCCCAGGUUAAAUAUAUAUAACUGUGUGUGUCCAGGUUAAAUAUAUAUAACUGUGUGUGUCCAGGUUAAAUAUAUAUAACUGUGUGUGUCCCCUGGUUAAAUAUAUAUAACUGUGUGUCCCCAGGUUCCGUGGUGUCCAGACGGGGACAGACAGCCGGGUGGCAGAGCUUCUGAACCAGGUGAAGCUGAAGAGCUUUGAGACAGAGCGCUCUCAGAUGGUACAAGAGGAGACCGCCAGGAACCUGGGACAGUGUCAGAUGGAGACAGAGAAACACCAGAAGAAGCUAGAGGUCAUGACCAAGGAGUUGUACAGGCUUCAGGCGUCCUCGGAGAAGCAGAUAACGGAACUCCAGGCCCAGAAUGCUGAGCAGCAGGCCAGACUACAGACCUACGAGAAACUGGAGCAGGAGCUGGACGACGUCACCAUGCAGGCUGCUGAAAUUGAUAAUGAGGAGGAAGCAGAGAGAGUUCUGUUCUCCUACGGUUACGGUGCCAACGUUCCUACAACCGCCAAGAGACGACUCAGGCAGAGUGUCCAUCUGGCCCGUAGACUGUUGCAGCUGGAGAAACAGAACACACUGCUGAGGAGAGAUCUGGAGAGACGCAACACACACACAGGACAGAUCUCUGAGGAGGUAUCACACACAGGACAGAUCUCUGAGGAGGUAUCACACACAGGACAGAUCUCUGAGGAGGUAACACAGGACAGAUCUCUGAGGAGGUAACACACACAGGACAGAUCUCUGAGGAGGUAUCACACACAGGACAGAUCUCUGAGGAGGUAACACACACAGGACAGAUCUCUGAGGAGGUAACACACACAGGACAGAUCUCUGAGGAGGUAUCACACACAGGACAGAUCUCUGAGGAGGUAACACACACAGGACAGAUCUCUGAGGAGGUAACACAGGACAGAUCUCUGAGGAGGUAACACACACAGGACAGAUCUCUGAGGAGGUAACACAGGACAGAUCUCUGAGGAGGUAACACACACAGGACAGAUCUCUGAGGAGGUAACACACACAGGACAGAUCUCUGAGGAGGUAACACACACAGGACAGAUCUCUGAGGAGGUAUCACACACAGGACAGAUCUCUGAGGAGGUAACACACACAGGACAGAUCUCUGAGGAGGUAACACACACAGGACAGAUCUCUGAGGAGGUAACACAGGACAGAUCUCUGAGGAGGUAUCACACACAGGACAGAUCUCUGAGGAGGUAACACACACAGGACAGAUCUCUGAGGAGGUAUCACACACAGGACAGAUCUCUGAGGAGGUAUCACACACAGGACAGAUCUCUGAGGAGGUAACACACACAGGACAGAUCUCUGAGGAGGUAACACACACAGGACAGAUCUCUGAGGAGGUAUCACAGGACAGAUCUCUGAGGAGGUAUCACAGGACAGAUCUCUGAGGAGGUAACACACACAGGACAGAUCUCUGAG